rnacentral:rRNA from 1 species
CCUGGCGGCCUUAGCGCGGUGGUCCCACCUGACCCCAUGCCGAACUCAGAAGUGAAACGCCGUAGCG